rnacentral:lncRNA from 1 species
UUCCUAUUUUAUCCCAGUCUCUUCAUUAUUUUUGUGUUUAUCCUUAUGGAUAUUUAUUUAAAUUCCACACCUAUCUUUAUGGCAUGUGCAAAAGCUUAAAGCAUAAACAUUAUCAUAAUAUCUAUAAGCUAUGCUCAUGUCUACAUAAUAUAAUAGACCCUUCUCAAAUAUAUCAUGGGAUCAUUAAUCCUGACCUUGAUUUGCUAGGCCCUGUAACACCCAAAAAUUUGUUUUCAAUUAAUAGGAAUUAAUUAAAUUUAUUUAAGUAUUUUUGUGAGCAUUUAAUUUAGUGAAUAAAUAAUUUUGUUAAAAUUAAAAUUUAUUAUAAGUUUAGUAAACUUGAUUGUGCAUUCAUGCUGAGGUAUAUUUUAUUUUUGUGCUAAUUCCUUUUUGUUGGAUUUGGGUUGCUCUCAAAAUUCUAUUUAAAAAGGUUUUGGAAAACAGAAAAGAAAAAAAUAGAAAAAAAACAAAGGAGAAAAACCCCAGCCAGCCCAGCUCGGCAGCAGCAGCCCAGCCCCCUCCCUGGCCUGCUUGCCCCCUCCUCUUUUCCCCGCAGCCCACCCGACCCCCUGGCUUUCCCCCCUACGCACAGGCCCAGAUCGCGCAUAGCCCAGUCCCCCUUGGCCCAUGUCACAGCCCAGCAACAAGCCAGGCCGCGCGCGGACGCACUCCCCUCCCCUCUCUUCUCUCUCUGUUUCGCUGGCAACCGGGCCCGCGAGUCAGUCUCCCUUCCCGUUUUUCCUUUCUUCUUCCUUCCGUAACCGGCUGGGAAUCUCCCUCCCCGAAGGCAAGGCACCC